rnacentral:rRNA from 1 species
GGUCAAGCGAAUAAGCGCACACGGUGGAUGCCUUGGCGGUCAGAGGCGAUGAAGGACGUGGCAGCCUGCGAAAAGUAUCGGGAGCUGGCAACAAUCUUUGAUGCGGUAAUGUCCAAGUGGGGAAAACC